AUGAGGCCUGGGACACGGAGAAAGAAACAGAGAAAGAGGCAGAACGGUAAACACUGCAUCGGUUGGGCACCGUACUUUGCUUUUUUUCCAUUUUUUAGAUUUGGGUAUGCAAUGUUACUUUUGAUUGAGUUUUUUUGUUGGAUAGGUUUACAUUUGAUUCGUUUUUGUUUUGGGUUUUUGGAUUCUCUGUCAAAACGUUUUUUUUUUCCAAUUUUAAAUAUAAUUUAAUCUUUUAAAAGACUUGAUUUUGGUUUAGGGUUACGUUUUUGGUCUAGCACCACCCAUCUCCGGCUCCAUUCAACCACAACCUCAGCGUACGCGCAACAAUUUGACUCUCCCUCUUUUUUUUUUCUCAUAAAACCUAAACCCAAUGCAUCAAACUUCUAAUCCACUUCUUCCUUCAUCAACGCUCACCAAGUUGAGUUUUUCAUCAGUUUUGAGUGAACUUCUGGCUUUAUGGGUUUAGUAUUUAAUUGGGUUUUAUGAGUUUUGUGUGUUUGUAGUGGAAAUUUGAAGUUUUUAAUUCAUAGAUUUACUGAGAUUUAUAGUGAAUUAUUCAAUAGUUUGAUUAGCUUAAUUUUUACUUUAAAUAACUAAAAAAUUAUGCUUAUCACCUUAAAUAACCCCUAAAUCCUAGAUCUCUACGGAUGGAGAGAGAAGGCUCAAUGAGGACUUGGGGAUUUUUACAUACUAAUAUUGCCAAUGACCAAAUUUUCUCGAAUUUGUCCUUCAAAUAUUGCUCUAAUGCAUGCCUUACAAGGUUCUCACAGAAUAAAAGUAUUUAGUAUCACAGCAUAAAAGUAUUUAGUAUAUAUUCUAUCUUUCUGUACAUUGAUCUGUUGGUAUGGUUGUCACUCAUGCACAACCCGUGGUUGAAGUUAUAAAGCAUGGAGAAUGAUGUUGUGUGCUAUAGUGUUGAGUUUUAUUGUGAUGAUGAUGUGAAAUAUUGAUCUCCAAUCUCACCCGUUAUAGUCUUAAUGUCCUCUGUUUUAUUUUUCUCCACUUUAGUUUUAAAAUAUAGUCAACAAGUUGCAAGUUACAGGAAAUUAGAAAUAUUGCUCCGGUAUUUCUACAAAGUGAAAAUUCAUAUCUUAUUCUAAGUUGCAUGUUUAAGAGUGAUUUGGGAGGGCAAAGAGUAUUUGAUCUGAUUGUGUUUGUUUUGUUUGUGAAGUUAAUCUAGGUAUAUUAGAUUGUGCUCCACUUAUUUAUUUGGGUGAGUUGAAGCAUCCUUUCCAAGUUUUACUAAAUGGUUGGUUGUCUCUGCAAAAGGUGGGUUGAUUCCAUUGAGUGCUUUUAUUUUUCUAUUGCAUUUCAGUGACAUUCAAUUACAAACUUUUAAAUUGAUUUGCACUUACAGUUGAUUUGCAUUUGACUUUUUAAAUUGAUUUGCAUUGCAUUUAGGUGGUUUGAAUUAGAAUUCAACUAACAUUUUAUAUAUAAAGCUGUAUUUAUAUGAAAACCAUUUUACUAAAUUUAGGUUGUAUUCUAAUUUAGAAUUCAGAUAGUUCAAAUGUACAUUUAAAAAAAAAAAUUGUUCUUCUUAAAUAUUGUUUUGUUUGUGAAGUUAAUCUAGGUAUAUUAGAUUGUGCUCCACUUAUUUAUUUGGGUGAGUUGAAGCAUCCUUUCCAAGUUUGACUAAAUGGUUGGUUGUCUCUGCAAAAGGUGGGUUGAUUCCAUUGAGUGCUUUUAUUUUUCUAUUGCAUUUCAGUGACAUUCAAUUACAAACUUUUAAAUUGAUUUGCACUUACAGUUGAUUUGCAUUUGACUUUUUAAAUUGAUUUGCAUUGCAUUUAGGUGGUUUGAAUUAGAAUUCAACUAACAUUUUAUAUAUAAAGCUGUAUUUAUAUGAAAACCAUUUUACUAAAUUUAGGUUGUAUUCUAAUUUAGAAUUCAGAUGGUUCAAAUGUACAUUUAAAAAAAAAAAAUGUUCUUCUUAAAUAUUGUUAUACAGUAUAUUUAUAUAUUGGUUGCUGCAUCAUUAUGUCAUAGAAGUCCUUCUAAUUGAAUUUUUGGCAGCCACAUCUAUUUACCUAAUUUUGAAUAUCACAUGAUAACAUGUAUAAGCUGCAAUAUCUAUAAUGUGUGAAUGGUGAUUGAAGUCUACAAGGUUUCUUAUAGUUAUUACAAAGUUAACAAAAAAACUUAGAAAAAUUGUUGACAUUUGCUUAGAAGUUGUGCAAACAUGAUUUUUUUGCAAAACUAUAAUAUUGAAAUUGGUUCAAUUUGGUUUCUAUUUAGAGGCUAUGCACGGGUCCCUAUUUUUUCUCCUAGAUGAUAAAACUAUAUACUUUUUGGUGGCAUGCUUUACUGACAGUGGUGGAUUUUUUCAUUCAGUAUUGAAAUAGAAUCUGUUUAAAAAAAAUUGAAGGAGCUGAAUUUUCAAGGUAAGAAAUUGAAUUAUUAUUAGAAAAUGAAGAAGUUAAACUAUGCGUAUUCUAAGAGUUCAAGCUAUUAUAAAAUGAAGAAGUUGAUCAUAUAAUUAUUAUUUUAACACUUUUCUUUAAGUAUAAAUCUAAAUUCCUCCUUAAUAAAUGAAGUCCCAUGAUAUGUAGCACUGUAGAAAACAACACACCUUAACAAAAGCUACUACACAAUCUGAUCUUGGCAAGUAAGCAAACACUUUUUCUUUAAUAAGCAUUAAUUUUGAAAUGAUGCAUUUCUUUUCAGCAUAUACGUAACAUAUUGGUUCAUUUGUAUAAAUUUGUUAUUUUUCAAGUUGGUGAUUUUAAAUAUAUGAUGUGUUUAAGUUCAAUCUAAUGUCACUAUGUCAGGUUUACAUGCUCAGGGUGAGGAACAAGCAAUAUGGUACGGUUAAGUUUUUUGAUAUAAGUUUUGAUGAUUACUCUCCGGAGGAGGAUCAAGGCCUAGACUACAAAACUGUAUGGUCUAAAUGGUGCUGAAAUUUUCAGUAGAAUUUGCUGGUUUAAGAGAGUUUGGCUAGAGCUGUAAGUUAAGGAGAAAUUGAAUUAUGUGUGACAGUAACACUACCUAUUAGUCAUUUCAAUAUGACUUCAGAGACUAAUAUGUUACUGUCACAAUUUGCAGGUUUAAGAGGGUUUGGUAGGAGCUGUAAGAAAAGAAAUUGAAAAUGAAGUAUAUGUGACAGUAACACUACCUGUUGGUCAUAUCCAAUAUGACCACGCUGACUAAUAUUUACUUUUUUUGGUGGCAUUUAGGGAUCAUUAGAAUUUUCCUGAAAAAACCAGCAUGAAACCAUGUAGCUUUAUGGUUUGGCCAUAGGAAAGUAAUGAUAACUUUGUAGAAUACAUAGUAGAGCAUAUUAACUUUGUGGCAUGUGUAUAUAGAGUUUAGAGCAUCUAUUUUGUCAGAUUUAUUACAAUACAGUGAUGCAGUGGUGUUGGUGGUGAAUAUGAGUUUAGCAUGGGUGGUUAUGUAAGAAGGAUUUGGUUCUAGGAAGACUGAAGCCAAAAAUAUGUAAAAGUGUGGUAGGGUUGACAUCUUAUAGUAUAAUCAAUGUUGUGGAUUGUGGAGUAAUUGCAGAUUUAUUUGGUGGGUGUUUGCUUUUGUGGCGAAAUGUCAAUUGGACAAGGUUAUGCAGGAGGCAACAUAGCAAGGCUUCUAUUGGAUUAUUUAAGGAAAAACAGCAACUACAGAAUUCAAUUCAAUUUUCAGUUUCUCUUUUCCAUCCUACCUGAUCUGCUGUUUUUGAAGAGUGAUUGAAAUUGUACAACUUUGAAAUCUGAAAGUGUAAUGUUUUUUAUACAAAGUUGAUUAUAUCUUAGAUUUUAGUUAAUAUUCCACUCUAUCUGCAUAAUUACCACUUACCAGGGUUAGCUACUUUAAACUUUUAUUUUAAUUGUAGAUAAUUGUAGAAAAUGUAUUUUGUUGUUGUAACUUUAUGGUUGCUUGUGGGUGAAUUUUCAUUUAUAAAACAAUGAAUGUGAUUGCUAUUAAAGUUGACAGAAAUUGCAUGUAAUUCAUUUAGUAGAUCAUGUUUGGUUGGAGGACACCUCUUAUUCUUUGAGUUUCACGCUGUAGAAUACAUUCAAAGAUUGUGUGUGCAGCAGCCAAUGUGGCAUGGCCACAAAGCUGAAGCUGCAAAGGGGUAUCAAAGAUUUGAUCGAUUUACAAAUACUUCUUUUUAUUGAGAAGGUGAUUUAUAUAUAGAUACUUUAUUAGUCAAGAUGAAAAUGAAAAAAUUUGCUAAAAAUUCUAUUGUACCAAUAAAAUAUGGACAUCUAAUCAUGGUUAAAGACCAUUUUAAAAUCUGUCUGUCAAUUAUCAUAUGGAAUUUAUGGAAUUUUCAACUUAGUGCUAUUUUCCCCAUGUUUUUAACAUGUGAAAGCAAUUAGUUGGAUGGUGUGGAAUAGUAAAUGUGGGUACUUGCACUUCAACUUUGUAGUUUUCCACACAGGUUCAAAAGAUUAAAAUAAUAGUGUGUUGAAUGGAUGGUCCAAACUCCAUAUUUUGGGCAAAAAUCUAGGUUGAAGAAGGGACAUAAACGUGGUAUUAAUUAGUAGUGCUUCGUAAGUAAUAGUAAUCUUUAAAGUUUGCAAAAUGAACCAAUUUGAUUGCCAUGCCAAUCUAGACACUAAUGUGUUAUGAAUUUGGCAUAUUAGCAACAAAAUUCUAGAAUUUAUAAUCUUAUUGAACUCAAUGCACUAAUUGUAGUUUAGUUUAUGAUUAGCAACCAAACAUUGCAACCUUUUUUUUUNUAUUGAUGAAAGCACAAGGAAUAAAAAAUUAUGGAUCAGUAUGAGUAUGAGCAGCCAGAGUUAUAUUUAUUAUAAUAGCAAUAAUAUCUAACAAGUCCAUUUAAGUAUUGUGCAAAAUACCAUUAAAUAUUAGUGUACUUAUCCAAAAAAACUAAGUGUGAAGGUGGCUGGGGCAAUGUGUUAGUAGUGGAGGUGAUGGUGGAAGCAGAAAUGAAGUCAUCAAUAUCUAUAUAUAUAUAAUAGACGAAGCUGAGAGAAUGUGAGUGCCUACAAUUAAGGAUGUGUUGACAAAUCAGAAAAGUGACGUCACUUUAAAAAAGCGAUACCUUAUGUUGAUUUGCAAGGGUGACACCGUUUAACGGUGAUGGUGUAUAUAUUUAAAAAAAAAAAAAAAAAAAAAAACGUCACACUAAAAAAACCCUAGCAUCUUCUCAGUAGAUUCUUAUUACCAUUUUCUCUCUCUUAAAAAAACCCCAGAGAUACUGUGACAGAGGAAAAGGGAAGGAGAAAAAAAAAAAACUUGCGACACACUGGAAAUUCGUUUGGCCGGCCAUCGCCAUCCCCUUUUGAGUUUUUCAGGUACGUUCUUUGCUCUCUCCCUCUCUUUCUCUCUAUGAGUUUUUGUUGUUUGGAUUCGGUUUUGAAAUUUCUCUGUGAUUUCGGGAUAAGUUUCCCCUGUUUUCGUGAAUUUGCGGAAUAUUGUAGAUCUGUUUUGCGAUUAAAACCCUAGCGAUCUCUUCUCUUCAGACUCUGUGAACCAGUGGAUAUUCGUACGACCGUCCACCGCCAUUUCCUACCGGACUUAGACCAUCACUAUCGGCAUCCGUCAAAGCUAAAUACGAUCAAACGUCACAGAGGUUUUGAGAUACGAAGUUAGAGAUCGGCGCUAUUCCGAUGAAAGGUACGCAUCAAUUCUGCGUACAUUCUUCUCCUUUUGGUGCUUUGUUGUGAAAAUUGAUUCUUACGGCAUGAACAAGACUGCAGAACCCUAGAAUAUUGAUUCUUCGAAUUUCUGCAGUAAUUUUCCUGCAUAAUUUUGUUUUAUAACUAUAAGUUCCCUCUGUUUCCGUGAAUUUGCGGAAUAUCCUAGAUCUGUUUUGCGAUUAAAACCCUAAUUUUCCUGCAUAAUUUUUUUUUAGAAUUAUUGUUCGAUAAAUCUGUGUGCUGUGAUUGAUAUAUGUGAUAUAUUCAUUCAAUUUUUGGAUACUAUGGCUUGGCAUGUAUAUAAUUUUAUAUGGGUACAAACUUGAUUCGUAAAAGCUAUGGUUACAGAUGCACACUGCUAAUGAGAUUGCUAGGUUUGUUGAGAUAUGAUAUAACUUUUUUGUUUUGUCAUGUAAUAGUUGAAGCACUAGAAUCUUUGUUAUGAUUCUGAUAUAUCUAUGGAAUUAUAUGCUUGACAUCAUUCGUAUGCUUUUAUAUCCUUAGAUUAAAUGAAUAUAUAUAGAUUCAUGUACGGAUAUAUAAACUAUUUUUUUUUAACUAUUGGUUUUUUGAUAUCAGUUCAUGAUUAUAUGGAUUAGAUUUUGUUUUAGCUAAGGUUUUUGGGUUAGAAUUGUUUUUGUUUUGGGUAUUUAGGUUAGAUUUGAUUCUUUUUGAGAUUAUUGUUUUUUUGUAAAAGAAAUUGAAAUGGUGUUGAAUUGCACCAAACUGUUCAUCUUCUACUAUUUAGAAAUCUCCCUUUGAAGAUACUUGCAGCCAAUCACAAGUUCUUUACAAAUACAAUUUCUUUGUUUUCAGUAAAUAUAAAUAUUUGGAUGGCUGA
rnacentral:sRNA from 1 species